rnacentral:rRNA from 1 species
CCCUUAGAUGUCCUGGGCCGCACGCGCGCUACACUGACGGAGCCAGCGAGCUUACCCCUUUGCCGAAAGGCAUGGGAAAUCUUUUGAAUCUCCGUCGUGCUGGGGAUAGAUCAUUGCAAUUAUUGAUCUUGAACGAGGAAUUCCUAGUAAGCGCAAGUCAUCAACUUGCGUUGAUUACGUCCCUGCCCUUUGUACACACCGCCCGUCGCUACUGCCGAUUGAAUGCUCAGGUGAGCCAUUCGGACUUUCAUCAUGCUGGUUUCCAGUUUUGAUGAAGGAAAGUCUUGCGAACCUUAUCAUUUAGAGGAAGGAGAAGUCGUAACA